CGUGACGCAGCAACGCCGCGUGAGGGAAGAAGGCCUUCGGGUUGUAAACCUCUUUCAGGAGGGACGAAGGUUCAGGCGCGAAUAGCGUCCUGGACUGACGGUACCUCCAGAAGAAGCCCCGGCUAACUACGUGCCAGCAGCCGCGGUAAUACGUAGGGGGCUAGCGUUGUCCGGAAUCAUUGGGCGUAAAGCGCGCGUAGGCGGCCCGGUAAGUCCGCUGUAAAAGUCAAAGGCUCAACCUUUGAAUGUCAGUGGAAACUGCCGGGCUAGAGUCCGGAAGAGGCGAGUGGAAUUCCUGGUGUAGCGGUGGAAUGCGCAGAUAUCAGGAGGAACACCAACGGCGAAGGCAGCUCGCUGGGACGGUACUGACGCUAAGGCGCGAAAGCGUGGGGAGCGAACAGGAUUAGAUACCCUGGUAGUCCACGCCGUAAACGAUGGGCACUAGGUGUGGGAGGUGUCGACUCCUCCCGUGCCGGCGCUAACGCAUUAAGUGCCCCGCCUGGGGAGUACGGCCGCAAGGCUA
rnacentral:rRNA from 1 species